ensembl:lncRNA
AGUGUCUUGCAAGUGACAGCUAGCAGCAGCAGGUCCAGCCAAGAGGCACAGCACCCUGCAACCUCCAGGGGCCUUUGUGCACCAGCAGAUGUUGAUGCCCUAGAAGCACGGUGCGGAGCACAUCCUGGGAUCAAGGUGCCACGGACUGGAAAAUGCUGCUGUGGCGAAGUUCCUGUGUGAAGACAAAACUCCCAGUCCCCCAGAAAAGUGGAGGCAGAAGAGCAGUGACAAGGCAUUGUGUUCAACUUAAAAAAGGAACGCAUGAAGAAUAGCUUUGUUUGCAUGCUGGGAACUGCUGAGGCUUUGGCUGAUGACAGCUUUCAGCUGCAGCUGAACUAGGCUGGAUUUGUCUCCUGCUCUCCAUAGGAAAGAUUGUUUCACGUGUAAUGAAAAGCUAGUGUCCAGAUGAUCACUGCGGCCAGAUGGCAAUUUUGAUGCCCUCGUCACUAAGACUUGUCCAAGCCCUGAUGUAUGUGAAGCUCAUCAGGAGGGAAUGCUCGCAAGAAUCAGCUAACACAAUAGCAGCAAGCUUUCAGUGACAGCGUUCAGGAAGGGUGACGAUUCAGGCUGGGAGCAGAUACCUUGGUGUCACUGGAAUCCAUGGAGUUGACACAGUCCUCUGAUGGCUGGAUUUCGGCUUUCUAAGGGUGUAUGGGAACUGUAUAAUCACAGCCUGACCCUCUGUUUGACCACCUGAGGCGAGUGCUGAGUCAGCUGCAGGGGCACAGGUGAUGGCAGUUUCACCUGAGUGACCGGAAGGGGUGGACCCUGGCUGCAGCCCUGCUAGACCCCAUGUAAGGGCUGACUCCCAAGGAGGAAGGCUCUCUCUCUGGAGGUCACCCUUAGUGGAGCUGUUCUGCGCGCCCAGGGUACGGGUGAUUUUGCUUUGCCUUCCUUGGCUUUUUGGAACUUGGGAAAAGGUACCGAGGUGCAUGGAUAUGGAGAAGAAAAGCUCUCCUGCUGUGGCUGAGAGGUGAUGCAAAGGAGGCCUCCCGAGCAAGCACCACAAAGGCAGCUUGCUUCUCCAGAGGCUGCAGCAUAAGCUCGUGUUCCUUGCGGAGGACUCCGUUGUGCAUCUGCAGGAGCUGCUUUGGCGUGGAGGAUUUUGUGGAGUUGCUGCCAGUCGUUGCUCGGAUGAAGUGAGGCUUUUGUCCUUGUAUCUGUGCAGGAAAGCAGUGCGGAGGGAACGUGUGUGGUGAGAUGCUGAGGAGAGAUUGCCUUCCUUGCCCCAGCAGGCUGCUUGUGUCCUGGUGAUGCACGGUGACGAGAAGGCUGCUGUUCUGAACAGCACAAGGCAACAGAGGCGUUGACAGCAGCGAUGGAGAUGGAGAUGUUCAGAGUGGAGGAGCUGUUGGCUCGCUGCAGCCACCCCAGCAUCCCCGGAGGUGGGCACAGGGGGGGGCUUUGGUGCUGCACAAACGACUGCAGGCAGAGGUGUAGGAAAGCGAACGCCAUACGUUUAAUAAUUUAACGUACAAAACAGCAAAUAAAUGAUUAUAUUCCC